rnacentral:snoRNA from 1 species
ACGACCUUACUUGAACAGGAUCUGUUCUAUAGGCUUGUUCCUCCUUAUCUUUAGCACAAAGGAGACAGGAUCACAAGUCUGGUUGAUGAGUCACACGACCUUUGAGAUCAGAGCGUGAUUAACAGCUUCCUUGGUCCUCCGGGUCCAGUCGAAGCAGUAGAGGAUCGUUCUCAGCUUGGUGUUCAUCUCGGGCUGGGAUGGUCACAAGGUUGUCUGACAGACC